rnacentral:sRNA from 1 species
GCCGGGCAUGGUGGCGCCUGCCUGUAAUCCCAGUGACUCAGGAGGCUGAGACAGAAAGAUUUCAAGUUCAAGGCCAGGCUGGGUGAUUGAGGCCCUGUCUCAA